ACCAUGAGAAGGCAAGCAAGAGAUCUGUGAGCAGCCAAAAGGGUCUCCACCACCACAUCUUCCACAAUAGAGCACACCAUCAGCUCCUCCAUAGCAACCACAUCAGAGCUGAAACUACCCACCUCCAUUCCACCAAAAUUCUGCCCAAACACCCUGACAAAGCACAGUUAUGAGAAGGAGAAAAACCCAGAAGCAGAAUAGGGUGGAAGUCACUAACCACACACAGAGAGAGAGAGAGAGAGAGAGAGAGAGUACAGGGGAGAAGUUUCUGGGUAGGGUUGUUUCUGGUGUCCGGACCAAGCGUGAGAAGGGAAAUUAGGGCUUUUGUUUGAACAAGGUUUUAGGGUUUUUGUUG
rnacentral:lncRNA from 1 species